rnacentral:rRNA from 1 species
GACGAACGCUGGCGGCGUGCCUAAUACAUGCAAGUCGAACGCCGUUGCGAACGGGUGAGUAACGCGUAGGUAACUGCCUCAUAGCGGGGGAUAACUAUUGGAAACGAUAGCUAAUACCUCAUACUGUGAGAUGGACCUGCGUUGUAUUAGCUAGUUGGUGAGGUAAAGGCUCACCAAGGCGACGAUCCCUAGCCGACCUGAGAGGGGUGUCGGCCAAAAUGGGACUGGAACAAGGCCCAGACCUCUUAGGGAAGCAGCAGGAGGGAAUCGUCGGCAAUGGACGGAAGGUUUGACGGAGAACGCCGGGGUAGGUAAGAAGGUUUUCGGAUCGUAAAGCUCUGUGGUUAAAGAAGCGGUAACUAACCAGAAAGGGACGGCUAACUACGUGCCAGCAGCCGCGGUAAUUC